GAUGCUGAGACUCUCAUCUACAGGAAGCUUUGGUUGGUUCAGCACCGCUGCAAAUACUGGGAGACUCGAGGUGACUGGUAGCUAAGAACAGCUCCUCCCAAAGGCAGGGAUGACCGCAGGACAGAGGACCCUGGGACAGGAGACUGCGACCUCCUUAUGGGACCGUGUCUGCUGCAUCUUCUGCAUCUCCGGGUACAUACUAACAAGCCCUCGACAAACCACUGGCUGGAAAAUAUCACCCCUGACAGCUUGGCUGUAAAGUCCUUGAGAGGAGGGAUCAUUUCUUCCUCGUAAUCAUCUUUCCAGUUUAGCAUGGUGCCAGUCACAUAGUGUCACUGAACGAACAUUAAGGGGAACUUGGACAGAAAUGGCCGCCUCAAAGAUUAAGGAAGUUCAUUGCAAAUCCUAUCAAGUGGAAAUGGUUGAUUACUUCAGUUCUUCAUAUAUGUGAA